rnacentral:rRNA from 1 species
AUAGGGGAGCCGCAGGGAAACCGAGUCUUAACUGGGCGUUAAGUUGCAGGGUAUAGACCCGAAACCCGGUGAUCUAGCCAUGGGCAGGUUGAAGGUUGGGUAACACUAACUGGAGGACCGAACCGACUAAUGUUGAAAAAUUAGCGGAUGACCUGUGGCUGGGGGUGAAAGGCCAAUCAAACCGGGAGAUAGCUGGUUCUCCCCGAAAGCUAUUUAGGUAGCGCCUCGUGAACUCAUCUCCGGGGGUAGAGCACUGUUUCGGCUAGGGGGCCAUCCCGGCUUACCAACCCGAUGCAAACUGCGAAUACCGGAGAAUGUUAUCACGGGAGACACACGGCGGGUGCUAACGUCCGUCGUGAAGAGGGAAACAACCCAGACCGCCAGCUAAGGUCCCAAAGUCAUGGUUAAGUGGGAAACGAUGUGGGAAGGCCCAGACAGCCAGGAUGUUGGCUUAGAAGCAGCCAUCAUUUAAAGAAAGCGUAAUAGCUCACUGGUCGAGUCGGCCUGCGCGGAAGAUGUAACGGGGCUAAACCAUGCACCGAAGCUGCGGCAGCGACGCUUAUGCGUUGUUGGGUAGGGGAGCGUUCUGUAAGCCGUCGAAGGUGUGCUGUGAGGCAUGCUGGAGGUAUCAGAAGUGCGAAUGCUGACAUAAGUAACGAUAAACAAGGUGAAAAACCUUGUCGCCGGAAGACCAAGGGUUCCUGUUCAACGUUAAUCGGAGCAGGGUGAGUCGACCCCUAAGGCGAGGCCGAAAGGCGUAGUCGAUGGGAAACAGGUUAAUAUUCCUGUACUUGGUGUUACUGCGAAGGGGGGACGGAGAAGGCUAUAUCAGCCGGGCGACGGUUGUCCCGGUUUAAGCGUGUAGGUGUGUGUUCCAGGCAAAUCCGGUUCACUUUACACUGAGGCGUGACGACGAGGCACUACGGUGCUGAAGUGAUAAAUGCCCUGCUUCCAGGAAAAGCCUCUAAGCAUCAGGUAACACAAAAUCGUACCCCAAACCGACACAGGUGGUCAGGUAGAGAAUACCAAGGCGCUUGAGAGAACUCGGGUGAAGGAACUAGGCAAAAUGGUGCCGUAACUUCGGGAGAAGGCACGCUGGCGCGUAGGUGAAGGGACUUGCUCCCGGAGCUGAAGCCAGUCGAAGAUACCAGCUGGCUGCAACUGUUUAUUAAAAACACAGCACUGUGCAAACACGAAAGUGGACGUAUACGGUGUGACGCCUGCCCGGUGCCGGAAGGUUAAUUGAUGGGGUUAUCCGCAAGGAGAAGCUCUUGAUCGAAGCCCCGGUAAACGGCGGCCGUAACUAUAACGGUCCUAAGGUAGCGAAAUUCCUUGUCGGGUAAGUUCCGACCUGCACGAAUGGCGUAAUGAUGGCCAGGCUGUCUCCACCCGAGACUCAGUGAAAUUGAAAUCGCUGUGAAGAUGCAGUGUACCCGCGGCAAGACGGAAAGACCCCGUGAACCUUUACUACAGCUUGACACUGAACACUGAGCCUUGAUGUGUAGGAUAGGUGGGAGGCUUUGAAGCGUGGACGCCAGUCUGCGUGGAGCCG